rnacentral:sRNA from 1 species
GGGGGCGAAAGGACUCGACGGGGGUUAUGAGGCUCAGGUAGCAUGCCGUGGUUCCGUCACCACGCAAAAAGGCGGAAACACUUAUAAACGCCAACAACGAACUGGCACUCGCUGCGUAAUUAACGCAGCACACUACCUCGGGAUUGCCUGUGUUUUGAGGAUAGUGUCGGAUAGCAGGCUGGCCUUAAGGGAUUUCUCCUGACCUUAAGGUAAGAACAAGGGAGAUAGGGUAAUGGAAAGCCCGUCUGCUGGCGGUUCAUUAUCCGAAAAUAAAAAGCAGAAUACGCAUGUAGAAGCCUGUGAGUAGUGCUUUCGGACGCGGGUUCAAUUCCCGCCGCCUCCACCA